GUGGGGAAUUUUGGACAAUGGGCGCAAGCCUGAUCCAGCCAUGCCGCGUGCAGGAUGAAGGCCUUCGGGUUGUAAACUGCUUUUGUACGGAACGAAAAGACUCUGGUUAAUACCUGGGGUCCAUGACGGUACCGUAAGAAUAAGCACCGGCUAACUACGUGCCAGCAGCCGCGGUAAUACGUAGGGUGCGAGCGUUAAUCGGAAUUACUGGGCGUAAAGCGUGCGCAGGCGGUUAUGUAAGACAGAUGUGAAAUCCCCGGGCUCAACCUGGGAACUGCAUUUGUGACUGCAUAGCUAGAGUACGGCAGAGGGGGAUGGAAUUCCGCGUGUAGCAGUGAAAUGCGUAGAUAUGCGGAGGAACACCGAUGGCGAAGGCAAUCCCCUGGGCCUGUACUGACGCUCAUGCACGAAAGCGUGGGGAGCAAACAGGAUUAGAAACCCUGGUAGUCC
rnacentral:rRNA from 1 species